rnacentral:rRNA from 1 species
UACGUAGGGACCGAGCGUUGUCCGGAAUCAUUGGGCGUAAAGAGCGUGUAGGCGGCCACUUAAGUCCUGCGUGAAAUCUUGCGGCUCAACCGCAAGCGGUCGUGGGAAGCUGGGUGGCUAGAGUGCGGGAGAGGAGAGUGGAAUUCCUGGUGUAGCGGUGGAAUGCGCAGAUAUCAGGAGGAACACCGGUGGCGAAGGCGGGUCUCUGGGCAACAACUGACGCUGAGGAGCGAAAGCGUGGGGAGCGAACAGG